CAGUCGCCACGGUAGUACGAAGGGUGCAAGCGUUACUCGGAAUUACUGGGCGUAAAGCGUGCGUAGGUGGUGGUUUAAGUCCGUUGUGAAAGCCCUGGGCUCAACCUGGGAAUUGCAGUGGAUACUGGGUCACUAGAGUGUGGUAGAGGAUAGUGGAAUUUCCGGUGUAGCAGUGAAAUGCGUAGAGAUCGGAAGGAACAUCUGUGGCGAAGGCGACUAUCUGGGCCAACACUGACACUGAGGCACGAAAGCGUGGGGAGCAAACAGGAUUAGAUACCCCAGUAGUCCCUGUCUCUUAUAC
rnacentral:rRNA from 1 species